rnacentral:lncRNA from 1 species
GACAUACCUCUGAGUGAGGCAAAGCUGAGUCUGGUGACUCCAAACCGCAGUGAGCUGCUGCAUCCCUGGUGAUGAGACGGGCUUCCUGCUUUCAUACAAAGCUCUCGAGUCUUCUCCAAAGAGUACACCCAAGACCUUGCCCGGUAAAACUGGAUGACUUUCCUCAGGCAUAGGAAAGGUCCCACCUUCUUUUCAGAUACAGUCCUGAAAAGAAGAGCAGAAAGCACCAAUUCCAAGUGUACUCUACUUCCUGUAAUCUCCAGCUCUAGGUACUGAAAAGAAACAAAAAGCUUGGUAGCAGGCAAAGGAACAAACACUUGUAGGGAUGCAGAUGUCCCUGCCUCACUUGGUGCCACCUGGAAAAACCUCUAAUUGGCUCAAAUCCCUCCUUUCUUACCACUUUUAAUUGAUAUGCCUGGUCCUGAACUCACAUUCAACAUUCCCAUCCUAAUUCCUGGACUGGUGGGGGUGGCAUGGAGGUGGAAAAUGGGGUGGUAUGAAUGAAACAUGCUUGGGCAUGAACUCAUGAAAUUACUGAAGCUGGUGGUGAGUACAUGAGCAUUGACUAUACUAGCUCCUCUAUUUCUGAUUACGUUUGAAAUUUUCUAUUAUAAAACAAAGAAAAACGAACACUUAAGAUCCUCCAAUGUUCCUUCUUUCAUUUUGCUUAUCACUGCCUCUAGUGAUGUUCUGUUUUCAAGAAACUAAUGUGACUUGAUUCAGGUUGUCUUUUACUUCAAAGAGAAUGCCUUUAUUUUAUCCAUAGGGCUACUCUAAUGAGUCAAAUUUCUGAAUCCAUUAAAAUCAUGGUUCAGUGGAUCAAAAUUCACUUCAUCCCUGAAAGCUUGGAUAGGCUUUGUAUAUUAUCCCAUCUAUUCCCUUCCUAUUGGCCCCUCAGGGUUCUGAUCAAUGGUUUACCUUUCUGUCCUCUUGUGACCAUGGCAACUUUUAUCAUUCAGGGAUUAAGUUAGGCUUACCCUCUGAUUCCACAUGCCCUGUGAAAUCGGGAAUGUUUCUCCAUUCUCAGUUGGAAGGCCUGCAGUGGAAAAAUGGACAGUCAGCCUUUGAGGAACUUCACUUCCCACAUCUCCAAGCCUGUCCCAUCCCACUGCCACACAAACUGCCCAGCGACUGUCCUAUCUUCUAAGGCAUGAGACCUCGCACUUUAAAACUGGAAUAUUUUCCACAGGCCCUCAAGCCACGAAAUCAUUCCCUUUGUUUCACAACGCUCUAGAGUAAUAGUGUACAUGUUUGCCAUGUACACAUGGCCUCCACUGGACAGCCAUGGGACCGUGUCCACACCCCUGCCAUACCUGGCUAUCACACUGUGUUCUGUGCUCUUCUCUACACCUGCUUCUCUCCAGUGAUGGCGCUUCUUCAGGACAGGGGCUAGACAGUCUUUUUUAAAUCCGCAGGACCCAGUGUUCUAUUUGACUUAUGGUAGAUGAUUCACAUGCAUUUGUUAAGUGAAGAAAUGUCAUAAUCAUACUGAAAUGUAAGCCUAUCUACUUGGGAAGAAAUUUAUUUGGAAAUACUGUAUUUGGAAACAAACAAAAAGAGCAUUCUGUAUUUAAGUCUUCCAGCAGACAAAGGUGACCAUGUCAUACCGAUCUUUUGAUGACCUCCCUUUCCAUACGUGUGAGCCAUGACUUGACUUCCUUAGUCUGAGUCUUUUUUUUUUUUUUUCCUUUUUACAGUGGCACCUGAGGCAUAUGGACAUUCCCAGGCCGAGGAUCAGAUCAGAGCCACAGCCGUUGCCUAUGCCAAAGCCACAGCCACACCAGAUCCGAGCCACAUCUGCAACCUGUACCACAGCUUAUGGUAAUGCCUGAUCCUUAACCCACUGAGCGAGGGCGGGGAUGGAAUCUGCAUCCUCACGUCAACAAUGUUGGGUCUUUAACCUGCUAAGCCACAACAGGAACUCUGAGUUUGUCUUACUAGUCAUUCUGCCCCAACUCUACCUCUUCCAAAUCAGUCACUUGAAUGAAAAAGAAAAACCAAAAUUUCCAUUUGUGCUUUUGUUAAGAUUGAACCAUCUUCCUUUUUUUAAUUAAAAUUUUAAAAAAUUUUUUGAAA